GACAUUCACUACAUCGAGAACCCAGCUGCAGCAUAGGCCUGUUGAAUAUUCCAUAUGUCUCCCGGCAGACGAGGUCCUUGCAACACCACCCAACUGCAGGUGGAAAACCUGAGCAAGGUUCCGCCCACCAACCGGGUUGCAGAGAUCCCCAAACCAACAUCUUGCUGGGUUUAGCACAGGCAAGCAGAUCUCCUGUUGUACGUGGUUUGCCGGAGGGGAAGGAUUAUGAAAGAAUUAGCUUCUAUCUUCAGAUCCAGAACUGUAUCCAGGCUGGUAUUGAACAAAAACAGACCGUGAGUUUAUCGUCCUGCCUCUGCCUUCCCACUGCUGGGAUUCCAUGUGUUGAGCAUGCCCGCUGUUAAUAGGUGCUGGGGAUGGAACUCAGGACAGACGAAGCAAGCACUCUACAGUGUCUGUACCUUGGUACCAGUGGAAACCAGAGAGAGAGCUGGAGUCACAGUUGUCAGCCAGCAUGUCGGGGCUGGGAAUGCCACCUGUGUCUCCUGCCAGUGUAGCCAUUGCUACAGCCCCUCUUUAAACAUAACAUGGUGGAGAACGUGGAUUGACUUUCUGAUGUAGCGGCUUUGAAUGUCAGGAAUAAAUUUCUUGGCCAUCUU
rnacentral:lncRNA from 1 species